rnacentral:rRNA from 1 species
AGCGAACGCUGGCGGCAGGCCUAACACAUGCAAGUCGAGCGCCCAGCAAUGGGAGCGGCAGACGGGAUAGUAACACGUGGGAACGUACCUUUCAGUUCGGAACAACCCAGGGAAACUUGGGCUAAUACCGAAUACGCCCGUAAGGGGAAAGAUUUAUCGCUGAAAGAUCGGCCCGCGUCUGAUUAGCUAGUUGGUGGGGUAAUGGCCCACCAAGGCGACGAUCAGUAGCUGGUCGAGAGGAUGAUCAGCCACACUGGGACUGAGACACGGCCCAGACUCCUACGGGAGGCAGCAGUGGGGAAUAUUGGGCAAUGGGCGCAAGCCUGACCCAGCCAUGCCGCGUGAGUGAUGAAGGCCU